AGAGUUUGAUCCUGGCUCAGAUUGAACGCUGGCGGCAGGCCUAACACAUGCAAGUCGAGCGAGAAAGCACUUCGGUGCGAGUACAGCGGCGGACGGGUGAGUAACGCGUAGGAAUCUACCUGGUAGUGGGGGACAACAUGGGGAAACUCAUGCUAAUACCGCAUACGCCCUAUGGGGGAAAGUGGGGGACCUUCGGGCCUCACGCUAUCGGAUGAGCCUGCGUAGGAUUAGCUUGUUGGUGAGGUAAAGGCUCACCAAGGCGACGAUCCUUAGCUGGUCUGAGAGGAUGAUCAGCCACACUGGAACUGAGACACGGUCCAGACUCCUACGGGAGGCAGCAGUGGGGAAUAUUGCGCAAUGGGGGCAACCCUGACGCAGCCAUGCCGCGUGUGUGAAGAAGGCCUUCGGGUUGUAAAGCACUUUCAAUUGGGAAGAAAAGCUCAUCGUGAAUAGCGGUGAGCCCUGACAUUACCUUUAGAAGAAGCACCGCUAACU
rnacentral:rRNA from 1 species